rnacentral:lncRNA from 1 species
GGGAGGUUGUGGAUUCUCCAUCCCUGGAGGAAUUCAAGGCCAGGCUAGAUGUGGCUCUGGGCAGCCUGGUCCGGUGGCUGGUGACCCUGCACCAAGCAGGGGGGUUGAAACUAGAAGAACAUUAUGAUCCUUUUCAACCCAGACCAGCCUAUGAUUCUAGGACUGGAAGGGACCUUGAGAGGUCAUCGAGUCCAGUCCCACUGCUGGAGCAGGAACACCUAGAUUAGGUCACACGGGAACACGGCCAGGUAGGCUUUGAAUGUCUCCAGAGAAGGAGACCCCACAACCUCUCUGUGCAGCCUUUUCCAGUGUUCGGUUGCCCUGGUAGCCAUACUGAGGUGUGUGUAGGAACAUAAGAGAAUCGCGGUAGGUUGGGGGAAAUAGUAGCUUUAAUUAAAUGGUUGAGUGUCUUUUUCUAAAGAAGCAUUUAGGUCUCAGUCUCCUUUUGCUGCUCACAGUGAAAAAAUAGGAUCAUGCCCAAAGUAUGGAGUUGCAUGAACGUGCUGAAAUGUAAGAAAGCACGCGGUCCUUCAAAUUUAGGUGUGCCAUCCCAUAGAUUAUCAGUGACGAGCCUGGUCUUAUCACUUUCCCCUUCAGGUCUAGUUUAAAGCUUUGCGGCUCAGUUCUGCUAAGGCCUGCAAAAAUGCUUUUCCUCCUCUGAGAAAGGUGUGUCCCAUCAGGUGCUGCCAGGCCUCUGCCUCACCAGAUGGUGUCCUCACUGGGGCUUUGGCUUCCUCUGCUGCACCCUCCCUCUCAGGGGUAUCUUCCAGCUCUUCUUGACAUCCUUUCGAAUAACGUAGGCCUGUUUGCAAAGACUGCAGGACAGGAGCAAGCGCACGCUCAUGAAAGAGCGUGGCCUCUCUUUGAUGUCCCUGGCACCCGGCACACUCGGAGAAGUGCCAGCCCCUUUGGCACCAUCAUCUGCUGCCUGUUGUGCUGCCAGGGAACGCGAGCUAGGAGCCCCGUCUGCGUCUCUUCUGCCCUCCUGAGCACUGGGACCUGGUCGCGUCUCAUCUGCGGGACCACUCCCAGCAUUGGGGGCCAGCACCUGGGCAGAUCUCGGUGUUCCCAGAGUGCAGGUGGGUGGGCCUUGCUGUGGACCUGCUGGUUUCUGGCUGGGUUUUGGUCUUGCGGCUACUGGACGCCCCCGAUAUGCCAACCCGAGUGACUUCUGUGUGGCAUGUGCAGGCUGGAGGGGGGGCGCAGGAACAAAGAG